GCCUCGAUAGCUCAGUUGGUAGAGCAGGGGAUUGAAAAUCCCCGUGUCGGUGGUUCGAUUCCGCCUCGAGGCACCA
rnacentral:tRNA from 41 species